UCUCCGUAGGUGAACCUGCGGAGGGAUCAUUAAUGGAUUUUAACUCGCAAGAGUAAUCCUCACACUUUGUAUUAUCGAGUCUUAUUCUUCCAGUUCGUCAAGGACUGGGUAUUUACAAUUUUUAUUCUAUUAAGAGUUUAUAUCAAAUUAUAAAACUUUCAACAACGGAUCUCUUGGUUCUGGCAUCGAUGAAGAACGCAGC
rnacentral:misc_RNA from 1 species